UACGAAGGGGGCUAGCGUUGCUCGGAAUCACUGGGCGUAAAGCGCACGUAGGCGGAUUCUUAAGUCUGUGGUGAAAUCCUGGAGCUCAACUCCAGAACUGCCUUCGAUACUGGGAGUCUUGAGUCCGGGAGAGGUGAGUGGAACUGCGAGUGUAGAGGUGAAAUUCGUAGAUAUUCGCAAGAACACCAGUGGCGAAGGCGGCUCACUGGCCCGGUACUGACGCUGAGGUGCGAAAGCGUGGGGAGCAAACAGG
rnacentral:rRNA from 1 species